rnacentral:rRNA from 1 species
UACGGAGGGUGCAAGCGUUAUCCGGAUUCACUGGGUUUAAAGGGUGCGUAGGCGGGCAGGUAAGUCCGUGGUGAAAUCUCUGAGCUUAACUCAGAAACUGCCAUGGAUACUAUUUGUCUUGAAUAUUGUGGAGGCAAGCGGAAUAUGUCAUGUAGCGGUGAAAUGCUUAGAUAUGACAUAGAACACCCAUUGCGAAGGCAGCUUGCUACACAAUGAUUGACGCUGAGGCACGAAAGCGUGGGGAUCAAACAGG